AAUGAACGUUGGCGGCGUGGAUUAGGCAUGCAAGUCGAGCGAGAAUCUGAUUGUUGAAGCUUCGGUGGAUUCAAUCAGAGGACAGCGGCAAACGGCGUAGUAAUGCGUAGGUACGUACCCUCAGGUCGGGGAUAGCCACGGGAAACUGUGGGUAAUACCCGAUAAUGUCUGUGGACCAAAGGUGUGAUUCCGUCUGAGGAGCGGCUUACGUGAUAUUAGCUAGUUGGUGGGGUAAUGGCCUACCAAGGCGACGAUGUCUCGGGGGUGUGAGAGCAUGGCCCCCACGACCGGAACUGAGACACUGUCCGGACACCUACGGGUGGCUGCAGUCGAGAAUCUUCCGCAAUGGGCGAAAGCCUGACGGAGCGACGCCGCGUGCGGGAUGAAGGCCCUUGGGU
rnacentral:rRNA from 1 species